rnacentral:sRNA from 1 species
CAGAUAACGGAGGGCAGACUUUGGCAGGGGGUAAUAACUGGCCCCUUCGAGGAAGAAAGUGGAGCCUGUGGGAAGGAGGCGUCCGAGGGGUGGGCUUUGUGGCAAGCCCCUUGCUGAAGCAGAAGGGCAUGAAGAACCGGGAGCUCAUCCACAUCUCUGACUGGCUGCCAACACUCGUGAAGCUGGCCAGGGGACACACCAAUGGCACAAAGCCUCUGGAUGGCUUCGACGUGUGGAAAACCAUCAGAUGCUGAGAAAUUAGGAAUGAACAAGUCAGUCAAGAUCCUGCCUCUCAGGAAGCUGUAUUCUAGUUGGGGGAGAAAGAUGUUGGACAAAUGAACACACAGAUGAGCAAGAUGACUGCCAGUUGUGAUAAGUGCCAGGAAGGCAAAAAAGUAUGUUGUGAUAGAUAGAGCUGGCUGAUGUGAAGAAGAUACAUCAGGGAACAGGACCCAGACUCAGAUUUGGAAAUCGUGGUGGUCUUUUUCCUGUUUAACCCCCACAGUGUAGAGCAAUAGCCCCCAAGGUUGGGAGGCACAUGCCUUAGAGGUUGCAAGAUGUUCCCUUGGAGUACAGGAAGAAAAUUUCAAUCUUGUAUUUGUAUUAAUAUCUAAUUUCAUCUCAUCCUUUUUAAAGUAUAUGUUUUUUAAGACACAUAAUAUAUUAGUAGACUUGUACAUAAAUCUAAUUUAUAAAUACAUAUGCAUAUAUUGGAGGUAUUAUUUUUACGCGUGGAAUGACAGUUGUCUAGUGCAAUGGUUUUCAACCUCUGUUUGGUGUUACAGCUCUGUUUGGGGUUAGCAGCUGAUUGACUGUCCCUUAGUGGCCAGGGGGAGAGGACUUCCUCAGGCCAUCUCUUCAUCCCACUCCAGGUAUCCCAGCUCAAGAAUAGUAGGUUUCAGGUCUCUAGUUAUAGGAAAUACACAAUGGAGUAUUUAGGAGCAAAAAGCCAUGAUAUAUUUAACAUACCCUCAAAUGGUUCAGAAAAAAAUUGUGUGUGUGUGUGUGUGUGUAUGUAUGUACAUGUGCACAGAGAGAAUUCAAAUGGACUGCAAAAUUAAAUAAAAGAAUAUAGGUAAGAUGCAUAG